GCGAGCGAACAGGGAAAAGCCCAGCGCCGAAUCUCUUGCCCCCCGGGUAAGAAGACAUGUGGCGUUUGGGACGAGGCUUUGCCUGUGCAGAAUGGUCUUCUAAGUCCCUCUUGAACGGGGCCAUAGCCCAUGGAGGGUGCUAGGCCCGUAUGAAGACUUUAUUGUGCAGUGCGUCUCGUCCGUAGAGUCGGGUUGCUUGGGAGUGCAGCCCAAAUCAGGUGGUAAACUCCAUCUAAGGCUAAAUAUGACCACGAGACCGAUAGCGAACAAGUACCGUGAGGGAAAGUUGAAAAGAACUUUGAAGAGAGAGUUAAAAAGUACGUGAAACCUCUCGGGGGUAAGCGGGCAGAACUUGCAAGUAUUGGCUGGGAACAUUCAGGCUUAGUGUUGGUGGCUUAUGGUGCACGUUAUGUGACUCUCUCGGGAGAAGCUGGCGUGUGUCGUUUGGUCUGCUGACAAUGCGCCGCAUUUGUUCCUGUCAUCGGGUUGCAUGCGACUAAAUUUUGGUAGUUUAGGUACCGGGGUCCUGAAAAUCCUUGUGGUUUUAGUUCCGGUUGCCAACUACUAUUGUGGUCGUUGAAAUAACGAGCAGGCGUAUUUAUCGCGCUCAGUGAUUUUUGAGAGUAAUGCGCUUGUGGUAUGUGCACGGGUAACCAUAACGUGUUGUAUGUAUCUGCUGUCAGCGAGACUCCUUUGGCUCUGUUCAUAUAUUGCUAUCUAAAGCAUGCGUGCUCUGUCUGUCGCGUCUUAAAA
rnacentral:rRNA from 1 species